rnacentral:rRNA from 1 species
AGUGAACGCUGGCGGUAGGCCUAACACAUGCAAGUCGAACGGCAGCACAGUAAGAGCUUGCUCUUACGGGUGGCGAGUGGCGGACGGGUGAGGAAUACAUCGGAAUCUACUUUUUCGUGGGGGAUAACGUAGGGAAACUUACGCUAAUACCGCAUACGACCUACGGGUGAAAGCAGGGGAUCUUCGGACCUUUCGCGAUUGAAUGAGCCGAUGUCGGAUUAGCUAGUUGGCGGGGUAAUGGCCCACCAAGGCGACGAUCCGUAGCUGGUCUGAGAGGAUGAUCAGCGACACGGGAACUGAGACACGGUCAAGACUCCUACGGGAGGCAGCAGUGGGGAAUAUUGGACAAUGGGCGCAAGCCUGAUCCAGCGAUACCGCGUGGGUGACGAAGGCCUUCGGGUUGUAAAGCCCUUUUGUUGGGAAAGAAAAGCAGCAGGUUAAUACCCAGCUGUUCUGACGGUACCCAAAGAAUAAGCACCGGCUAACUUCGUG